UCGGGAAUUUUGGACAAUGGGCGCAAGCCUGAUCCAGCCAUGCCGCGUGAGUGACGAAGGUCUUCGGAUUGUAAAGCUCUUUUAGCAGGGAAGAUAAUGACGGUACCUGCAGAAUAAGCCCCGGCUAACUUCGUGCCAGCAGCCGCGGUAAUACGAAGGGGGCUAGCGUUGUUCGGAAUUACUGGGCGUAAAGCGCACGUAGGCGGAUUGAUAAGUUAGAGGUGAAAUCCCGGGGCUCAACCUCGGAACUGCCUUUGAUACUGUUAGUCUCGAGUCCGAUAGAGGUGAGUGGAAUUCCUAGUGUAGAGGUGAAAUUCGUAGAUAUUAGGAAGAACACCAGUGGCGAAGGCGGCUCACUGGAUCGGUACUGACGCUGAGGUGCGAAAGCGUGGGGAGCAAACAGGAUUAGAUACCCCGGUAGUCCCUGAGCGGGCUGGCAAGGCGCAU
rnacentral:rRNA from 1 species